rnacentral:rRNA from 1 species
AACGCAACGCGAAGAACCUUACCUGGCCUUGACAUGCAGAGAACUUUCCAAAGAUGGAUCGGUGCCUUCGGGAACUCUGACACAGGUGCUGCAUGGCCGUCGUCAGCUCGUGUCGUGAGAUGUUGGGUUAAGUCCCGUAACGAGCGCAACCCUUAUCCCUAGUUGCUAGCAGGUAAUGCUGAGAACUCUAGGGAGACUGCCGGUGACAAACCGGAGGAAGGUGGGGAUGACGUCAGGUCAUCAUGGCCCUUACGGCCAGGGCUACACACGUGCUACAAUGGCGCGCACAGAGGGCUGCAAACCCGCGAGGGGGAGCCAAUCUCACAAAACGCGUCGUAGUCCGGAUCGGAGUCUGCAACUCGACUCCGUGAAGUCGGAAUCGCUAGUAAUCGUGAAUCAGAAUGUCACGGUGAAUACGUUCCCGGGCCUUGUACACACCGCCCGUCACACCAUGGGAGUAGAUUGCAC